GUCUAUUAAGGGGUUAUUAAUAGUCUAGCCUGCUCAGUGAUAUUAAUAUUAAAUAGCCGCGGUAUCUUGACCGUGCAAAGGUAGCAUAAUCAUUAGUUUUUUAAUUGAAAACUCGUAUGAAUGGUUGGACAAAGAAAUAUCUGUCUCUUUUAUUAAUAUUGAAUUUAACUUUUAAGUGAAAAGGCUUAAAUUACCCAGGGGGACGAUAAGACCCUAUAAAGCUUUAUAAAUCUACAAAUUUUAUAUAUUUGUGAAUAAAAAUAAUUUUUCUAAUAUUUAUUUGGUUGGGGCGACAAAAGUGUAAUUAAAAUAACCGCUAAUAAUUUGUUACAAUGAUUUUUGUUUGGCGAAGUUAAUGGAUCCCUUUUAAGGAUUAAAAAAUCAAGUUACUUUAGGGAUAACAGCGUUAUUUUUUCUGAGAGUACUUAUCGAAGAAAAAGUUUGCGACCUCGAUGUUGAAUUAAAAUGUCUUUAUAGUGCAGCAGCUAUAUAAGAAGGUCUGUUCGACCUUUAAUAUUUUACAUGAUUUGAGUUCAGACCGGCGAGAGCCAGGUCGGUUUCUAUCUCCUGGAAAACAAGGAUUACUUUAGUACGAAAGGAUUAAGUAAUCAAAAUUUUUUUAAAAUUUGAAAU
rnacentral:rRNA from 1 species